AGUGAACGCUGGCGGUAGGCCUAACACAUGCAAGUCGAACGGCAGCACAGUAAGAUCUUUCUCUUACGGGUGGCGAGUGGCGGACGGGUGAGGAAUACAUCGGAAUCUACUUUUUCUUGGGGGAGAACGUAGGGAAACUUACGCUAAUACCGCAUACGACCUACGGGUGAAAGCAGGGGAUCUUCGGACCUUGCGCGAUUGAAUGAGCCGAUGCCGGAUUAGCUAGUUGGCGGGGUAAAGGCCCACCAAGGCGACGAUCCGUAGCUGGUCUGAGAGGAUGAUCAGCCACACUGGAACUGAGACACGGUCCAGACUCCUACGGGAGGCAGCAGUGGGGAAUAUUGGACAAUGGGCGCAAGCCUGAUCCAGCCAUACCGCGUGGGUGAAGAAGGCCUUCGGGUUGUAAAGCCCUUUUGUUGGGAAAGAAAAGCAGCAGGUUAAUACCCCGCUGUUCUGACGGUACCCAAAGAAUAAGCAACGGCUAACUUCGUG
rnacentral:rRNA from 1 species